UCAUAUUAGCGUUCAGAAACAGGACACUAGCCAUAGUAGCGUGCAGAGGGGUGUGCAGAGCCAUUUGCAGAGAUUCUCUGCAAGUGGUCAUGUCAGCCAGUCGAGACACCGUUCAAAAUGGCGUGCAGAGCUCGAGAUGCCAUUCAUAAUGGCAUGUGCAUUGUCAUCUCACAUCGGCAUGGAUUUGAGUAGAACUUGAGCAGAAUGUGGGGUGUGAGUUAUAUUAGCGUCCGAGUUGGGACGCUAUUACAAGUAGCAUCCAGAGUUCAUUAAAAUUUCAAAUCCCCCCGCUACCUUCAUUUAUCGUUCUCACUAACCCUCAAACACUCAUUUACUGUGAUCCUCUCAUCCCUCUCUUCUCCAUUGUUGUGGACCAUUGUGUUGCUCGUUGAACUAGGUGGUGGAGCCAGCUUCUGCUCGAUGGACCAGCAACCAGAAGAGGAUCUCCAGUGGUGGACCAGCAAGGAAAAAAGGUUGUCUUUGUUUGUGGUGGAAAAAGCUAAGUGAAAAGUUAAAGAGGUGAUUUUUGUUGUGAAAAGGUAUCUUCCAUUCGCGGAAAUUCGACAAUUGUCCAGGUUUGUGAAUUUCCGGCCAGACAGACCAGCUACUGAAAAAGUCUCCAAAUUGGAUCGAGGUUUUGGCUACCCCACUAUUUUCAAACGUCCCGAGCACGUCCCCGGAGUCGAAAUUGGCAAAGGUGAGCCGGGACAGCCUUCUUCCUCCGCCCAGCCACCACAGUGACCGCUGUCAAGUCUGUGAGUAAAAUAUUAAUUUUAAUUGUAAUUUCGAUAUUAUUAUAUGUUCAAGCAUGCCCAUGCAUCACUUAU